rnacentral:rRNA from 1 species
UGAGGAAUAUUGGUCAAUGGACGAGAGUCUGAACCAGCCAAGUAGCGUGCAGGAUGACGGCCCUAUGGGUUGUAAACUGCUUUUGUUUGGGAAUAAUCGACAUUACGUGUAAUGUUUUGCAUGUACCAUUCGAAUAAGGACCGGCUAAUUCCGUGCCAGCAGCCGCGGUAAUACGGAAGGUCCAGGCGUUAUCCGGCUCUAUUGGGUUUAAAGGGAGUGUAGGCGGUUGGUUAAGCGUGUUGUGAAAUGUAGAUGCUCAACAUCUGACUUGCAGCGCGAACUGGCUGACUUGAGUACGCACAACGUAGGCGGAAUUCAUGGUGUAGCGGUGAAAUGCUUAGAUAUCAUGAAGAACUCCGAUUGCGAAGGCAGCUUACGGGAGUGUUACUGACGCUUAAGCUCGAAGGUGCGGGUAUCGAACAGG